ACCCGUGCGGCGUCCCCGGGCCCCGCUCCUGCUCCCGGCGCCGCGCACUGGCUGGCGGGGCCGGAGAGGCGGCGCCGGCCGGCGGGGCGGGGGCCCCGAAGUGGGUUUCGGGCCGCCACCAGCGCUGGCACCCGGCACAGAGGGCGGCGCGCGGCAGACUCCGCGCCUGGGCACCGCACCCGGCCGCCUCCGGCUUUGCCGCUCUGCCCCGGCCCGGAAAACCCAGCGCCUUCCAGGCCCUUCGAAAGAUGGAUUCUGUUGACGUAUCUGGCGGCCCUGGCGAGCCGGGUGGAAAGUUGGGUUUUGCCAGAUCGCGCUGGGCUUGUCUUUGUGACGCUCGGCCAGCCCCGCAUCCCCCCGAAGCCGGGCCCAGUGGCACCAGAGCCGAGUGAUGGACGAUCUGCGGUCCCAGAACCUCUCCAUGGACAUGACCGACUCCUCUCCCGCCUUGGCCAAUAACAGACUGGAGAAUGGCAUGGCCCAGCUCAUCACCACCGAGGCCUGGAACAUCAACUCCACUGACCUGGUAAAGAAGGCCCUGGUGACCGUGCCGGCCCCAUCCAUCCUGAACCCCCCGGCCGAGUCUCAGAGCGGCAUGGCUCUGAAGGUGGCGGCCACCGUGCUGCAGCCCCUGUGCCUCGGGGAGAGCCCGGUGGUGAUGCCCAUUCACAUGCAGGUGGAGGGAAGCUCUGCGCCCGAGCUCAACCCUAAUGGCAAUGCUGCGUAUGUCAUGACCACGCAGGGCCCUGUGCAGCUGCCCGUGGUGCUGGAGCAGCACGUCUUCCAGCACCUCAACUCCCCUCUGGUCCUGCCGCAGGAGGCCCCGUGCUCCUCCAGUGCCAUCCACAACAACCUGUUCCAGGCGGCCGAGGACCCUGAGGCCCAGCCCCAGCUCUUGGACCUGCGGAUCCCCAGCCAGCCGCAGGAGCCCACGCUGCCGUUCGAAGCCGUGCUCCAGAACCUCUUCCCCUCACAGGGCGCUCUUGGCCCCCCACCCUGCCAGCCUCCUCCUGGAUACGCCCCUGUGCCCCCCCAGCCCUUUAACCCCCCCCUGUCCCCCCUGGUCCCUCCGGCCACCCUCUUGGUGCCCUACCCCGUGAUCGUCCCCUUGCCCGUGCCGGUCCCCAUCCCCAUCCCCAUCCCGGUGCCUCAGAGUCCUGAAUCCAAGCUCAGCUCCGCUUUCCCCAAGCCGCCAUCUUCCUUUGGCCUGCACCCCUUUAAAGGCCCCCAGCCCCCCCUGGAGAAGGAGGAACUGAAGCCCUUCGAUAUCCUACAGCCAAGGGAGUACUUCCAGCUUAGCCGCCACACGGUCAUCAAGAUGGGGAGUGAGAACGAGGCCUUGGAUCUGUCCAUGAAGUCGGUGCCCUGGCUCAGUAAGGCUGGCGAAGUCAGUCCCCCCAUCUGCCAGGAAGAUGCGGCCCUGGACCUGUCGCUGGCAGCCCACCGAAAGUCUGAGCCUCCCGUUGAGACACUGUAUGACAGCAGCGGGUCCGUGGACAGCCCAGGUCACGCCGCGAUUGAGAAACUUCCCAGUGGCAUGGAAGUGCCCUUUGCCCCUGCCACGGCCCCUGGGGCCUUGGCUCUGAUGGAUAGCCACGUGGGCAGCAGCCACCCCCCUCAGCUGCCCAGCCAGCCCAACCAACCCGGCGGCGAGGUCAAGGCCGAAAAUCACACUGAGACCGUGAGCGAGUCCCAGGCGGCCAAGGUCAUUGUCUCGGUGGAAGACGCCGUGCCUGCCAUCUUCUGCGGCAAGGUCAAAGGCCUCUCGGGCGUGUCCACCAAAAACUUCUCCUUCAAAAGAGAAGACUCCGUGCUUCAGGGCUAUGACAUCAACAGCCAAGGGGAAGAGCCCAUGGGCAGCACGGAGCCCCUUCGGAAACCCGUCAAAAACCGGAGCAUAAAGUUAAAGAAAGUGAACUCCCAGGAAAUACACAUGCUCCCGAUCAAAAAACAACGGCUGGCCACCUUUUUUCCAAGAAAAAUUUAGCUGCAAAGGACCUUCUUUUCAAAGGCAGUAAGAGCAUUGUUCUGAAUGACUGAAAGUCUUGCAAGUCAAAAGUAUUACUGAAGACCACUCAGAACGAGAGAACGUCUUAUCGUACUGUACUCACCCUUCUCCUUCUUCCUGUGAUGAUGCGUCAGGAUCGUCCGCUUCCAGAGCCGGGUUGACCUCGGGAACCCGAGGUCCGUGGAUGUGGGGAGACCACGAGAUAGAUAGGCGUAGUACCGGAGGAGAAUGUUCAGGAGAGAAGCUGUAGCUAGAAAGGUGUUGCUUUCUACUUGCUGAUUCGAUGUCAUUGGCCAUCGAUGCCAGUCCAUGAUCUGUCGUCCCUGUACUCGAACUUCUCACCACGUAAGGACUCCUGAUGCGUUGACUGCUUUCUGCCUGCGAUUCUAUGGUGCAGGGAUCAAUAUUAUCACUGGGCCCUACUCUUGGUUCAUCUGCAGAUCCCUUUCUCUCUAACCCUUUAUUUUCAAUGUUGAAAGCAAAUGACAAGGUGGGUAAAAGCAUAUAAUUGUUUUGAGAAUCCAUCCUUGAAUUUUUUUAAUAUGGCUGUUUAAU